GGUCGUUUCCCGCGGGAGGAAGGGGAGCGGAGCCGGGGCCUGGUCUGGGGGAAGCCGGGGAGGCCCCGCUGGCGGCUGUGAAAAGCCUGGGGAGGGGGCUGGGAAAACCUCGGCUUCCCUCGGGAUAUCGCGGUCUGGAAGUGGGAAGCUGGGGGUUGCCUGUGCUUGACAGGUGUCACGGUUCAAGCUCUUGAUUGUUUUUUAAUUCUGACAUUUUUAAAGAACAAAGUACAACCCAGGAUCCGGCACGGUAUCAGAAUUUGCCCAGGUGAAUGAAAAAAAUGAGAGCAAUAGCACUGGCAGCGCAAUUCCUCUCUCCUGAUGCCGGAGGAGAAUUGACAGGAGCAGCGUCAGUGGUGUCAAAAAGCAACGCUGUUAUCACAAAUGAUUAAUAUUGGAAGAAUUUAUUUUGGACACGAGAAGGAAGUAAUGCCCAGUAGGAGUUUCCAACAAAUACUGGAACCUUACCAACAUUUUAAGCCCCGUGAAGGAAAUGAGAAAUUCAAAUUGUGCUUCACCUCUUCAUCUCUAUGUACAAGCUCUUUUACUAAGAUCUGCUUUUUGCAGUAAAAGCAUCAAACAGCUGAUAGACUUCUGUAAGAUAAUGAGAUAACAGAAUAAGGGACUAGAUUGACGUUUUCACUGCUGACAAAAUACAAUUUUUUUUGCUUAAAAAACUUGUUCCAUCAACAGACUGCUGUAAAUACAGAUUUUUUUUUUCUUAUUUUCAUAUUCACAGUAAUUGAAGAGCUCAAAAAUGGUAACCCGCAAUAAUUUAUUCAUGUUUUUCACUUCAGAAAUGGUGGGACUAAUUGCAAGGUUUUUUUCCUGCUUGCUUUUAUUGAAAUCCAAGGGAGUUGGAGGACAGAGUUCACAGUUACUUAUUUGAAGCAGGAAUUGUUAAAUCAUACACCAAAAAAAAAAAAAAAGGUUCUCAGAUUUGUGUCUUAGCAUCUAAGGCCCCAUUCUGCCAGCCUUGCCAUAGUAUCUUGUAAGAAAUCUGGGAUGGACAGUACACAAAUUGCUCUAAUUUGAAAGGGGAAGAAAAUAAGACCAUUAAAGCCAUCCUGUCAGAAUAAAAAAAAGGAAGGAAAAAAGAGGGUGGGAGUAAGGUUUUCUUUUCAACUAAUCAUUGGGAAUAAUGAAGGAUGUUUAUAAGUGACUCCCAUCUUUGAAUUGAUAGCAAAAGCAGAGAAUUUAAGAUCUGUCAUCUUUUUUCCCCUCUUACCAUUAGCAAGAGGUUAAAAUACUUGCAGGGUUCUGCAGCCUUCAGCAAUGCUCACACUGACUCAUGCUUGGAGACUUCUGAAUGCUGCACUAAAGAGGGCUUUGCAUCAGGUCCAGUGCAAUUUGGCAAACAGAAUGAAUAGAGCAUUCACUAUUCAAUGAUAGACAUAUAUCUAUAUAGAUAUAUAUAUGUAUAUAUAUGUAUACACACACCUCUUCAAAGAACUGAAAAGGGUGGGAAUCUCCAGGCAGACAUUUGUCUUUUUUUUUGUAGCUGUACGUUCUUUAACAGCAAUAAGCUGACAGAAUUGAGACAGAAAUUGGGCUCGUGAGUUUACGUGUGAUUGUCUCUGGCUGGUGAAAGUCUAUAAGCAAUCAUCCCAUACCACUGUACAGCCUUCCAUGGGGGCUUUGCACACACCUCUAGAGAGAGCAGCUGAGGAACUCUUUCAUAUAAUCAUGGCACUGCAACUUUCCUAAUAUGCAGCAGGAUUUUUUCAGGGCCAGUGCUGGCAGGGAAGCAGUUGUGUGAAGGCUUUUACUUUUAAAGUCUCAAUUUCACGGCUACAGAGAAAAGUUUGAAAGUGAGGCUUGCCUGCCAAAGGUGAUUUCUCUCUGAGGUGGUUUGGUUUGGGUUUUGCAUGUUUGGUUGUUUAGGAUUGUGCUUGCUUCAGCUGAAUGGAGCUAAGCUACUCCUCAGUUAGACUGGGCUUAGAAGUUACAGCGUUUCUACCAAACUGUUUCAGGAGGUAAGCUGGGGUCUCUUAGACAAGGCUCAGCUCUGCAGGGAUCGUUGAUGUCCUGGCUCGGAGAUCCAGCAGCUCUCUCCCUGUGAUUUGUGCGUGGGGUAAACCUGCAGGAAGUGUGUCAUGGGUUUGGCUCUGGCUUCACCUAAGAGAACCAAACCACAAAAUCCAGAGUAAAAGGAGCUUGGGCAAGCAGGUCUACUCAAGGUGAGCAGUGUGCCUAUAGCUGGGGUAGGUCCCAGGGGCUUGAUGCAGCUCUUGCACCCUUGUGAGCAGGAAGUAAUUCCCCUGAAGCUCAUGGGUUUGUAGUUUCCAAGCCUGAAUCAAUUCAGUGUCUGGCAAGAGGACCUGAUCCCUCCUUGCUCACAUCCAUGCACAUCCCAAGCAGUCAAAAAUCUUUGAUCCCAUGCAGGUGCCCUGCUGACAUAAACUUCACUUUUAACUGCAUCUUCUCGGGAGCAUCAGAAGGUGUGUACCAUGUUGAGGUGAGUUGUCCUUAAAAAUAUUUGUUCUUCUGAGCAUAAUUGAGAUUAUUUUGUUGAUAGUUUCACGCAAAGGCCUUGGAGCCUGGCUUUCUUACUGCACCACAGCUCUUUACAAAAUAAGAUUGCUUAGUUAGUUAUUGACCUUAGGGAAUACCUUUAAAAACCUGUAAACAUCCACUUUUAAGUGAAUAAAAGCAGUGAAUUUCCUUCAUCUAUGUUUACUUUCUGAAAACAUUCCCAUCAAUUAGAUUAGUGGCUAGAAGUGUUCAUGGAAAGAUUUUUAAGCCUAUUUUAGAGGGUAUUCAUGGAAAACAAAAUUUUAUCUCAAAACCACAGUCAUUUUACCAGGUGUUAAUUUAUGUUCUGGGAAUGCAAACCAGUAUUACGUGUCUGAUUUGUUCAGGAUUUGUAGCUCUGCUGUUUAUCCAGUCUUGUCUCUUUUUCUUCCAUGCUGAUUUCUAGUCCUCUGCUGUGCUAGGAAUGGAGAAUUGAACAUUUUAUUUGUUCACACCUUCUGCAUUUCCCUCUUGAACAGAGGGCUCCUUUCUUGAGCAACAGUGAAACUAAACCGCUAUCACAAAGCAAACUUGGGCCCUGGAAUAUAAAACCACUCCCUGCAAUAUUUAAAUUCCUUUGAAAACCAUCCUCUUCCAUAAGCCUGUGAACAUUGUCCAGCUGCAAUGAGUUUAUCGAUUCUUGGAAACCAUCUGUAUUUAGCAAAGAAAUAACAACACUGUGUGCUGAAACAGAGAUAAUUGCCAUUUUAUACAUUUCACUUAGAUAUUGGAUACUUCUGAUCCUUUCUCUGUGAAGUAGAACUGGGAACAAAGGUAUACCAGUAUAUAAUAUGCUUACUUUUUAAAAAUUACAUUUGUCUUUCUAAUAGUUACAUGAAAGGUACUGGGUUUAUUACAGGACAAACAAUUUAAUUGAGAUUUAAGAUUAAUGUCAUUACUACCAUCACAUAAUCAUGCUCAUGUGCAUUCUCCAAACGUUUAGCAUCACAUUCCCAACCCCUUUGCUUUGCAAAUGACAAGGAGAGAAGAUCCAGAGCUCUUGUUGCAAGAAAACAGAACCUCCUUUACCUAAAGGCAAAAAAAUCUGUAAUGUUUUGUCCUUAAAUCAUACCAUUUAUACACAUUUGUAAGCUGCUCUUCACCUUGGACUGUGUUCUUCUAUUGGUUAUAAUGUUUUCAGCUAUCCAGUGUCUGUGUCCCCACACAGCACUGCCAAACACCGACUUCUCCUGUAAUUUUAAAACUCAAACUACUUCACUAAUAUCCUGUAAAUGCUUCUGCUCAUACAGCUUUAUUGCCUGGUUUACAAACAUUUCCAACCUAAUCCAUGAACUCAUAACACACUGACUUCCUUGUAUUAUUCCACUACCAGAAACCACAUGACAUUUACUGUAUUAAAAUACAAUAGUGAACACUUACUCUUAAGUCCAAAGUUUGAACUGCAAUUUAAAUAUGGUGUUCCCCCAACACCCCCCCACACAUUUAUUGUAGAAAUUUGCAGAGCUUUUAUGUGGAGCACUGAAAUGCUUAAUGAUGGGUGCUUGUGUGCAAAGUUCUCCAGCCAUGUGGGCCACCUUCAUCAUCUCAGCAUUACCAGUUGUCAUCUGACUGCAGCCCAUCCAAGACAGAGCCUGUGUGUUUUUUCCUGCUUAGGAAGGGACUGGCACAACUGCAGCACUGGCAAAAAUACCAUAAAUUAUAGCAGUGAACCAAGCACAUUCCUCUGUGAAAUGGCAAGGGUCAGGUACUUGUAGCAGGGAUGCUUUUGUGUGGUCCAUGAGAACAAGAUGUACUUCUAGGAAAUCUCCAGUGAGAAAAUUUCACAUGCAAAAAUUGGAGGAAACAAAGCUGCAUGUGGACAAGGAUGCUGAAUUCAAGAGUAAGUUAUAUCUUAUGAAGUUUUUGUCCAGCUCAAGUUGCAAGCCCCUCAAAAUCAGGAUUUUAUUGUAGGAGAACUACCAGAUAUUUAUUGUGAGUCAUGACCACCUUACACAUUGGUGCUGGCAGAAAAUGGGGUGUAAAUGAAGGGAACAAUUUUAGUGAUAUGGCAAAAGUGCUUUUACAUUUUAAUUGUGCUGCAGAAAGGUCAAGGUUGGAUCUUGGUGAAGGAAUAAUUUGCUUUUAUGGUUUAUGAAUGUACCUCUCCAAAACUGAAGAAGUAGAACUGAGGAAGAAAUCAAAAUUUUCCUGUGCAGGUUGUUGCUUCCAAUUUGCUUUUAAAACAGCCUUCCUAAAACAGGCAUCCUGAAAUUUUAGUGCCUUAUCCCACAUUUCCAGGGUGACCAUGCAGUUCUUAAGGCAGGGCUAGGGCAUCUGCAAGUUGAGAAGGAUGUGCCGAUGAAGUGGCCCAGCUGUUGUUUGUGGCAAGAGGAAUCCAUAUGUACUGAUUUGCCUCUGAAAAACGUUCUGUAGGCUUUCAGUUCUGCAGAACAGUGUGAGGAGAGGGGUCAAUGGGGUGCGUGGCUCUUCAGUACCACACCAUGCACCAGCAUGGUCAGAUGAGAAGGGGUGCUUUCCCUUUGCCAGGACACUUCCCAUCCCCUUCCCAUCAGCUUGUUUUUGACCAUUGGCAACCCACUCACCUCGGCAGACACAGCAAACAUGAUUCUGUGAUGCCUCUAAAGGAGCUGCAUAGAAGGAAUAAGAAUUUCCUUUCUCUUACCCAGUUUUCAGUCCCGCACAUUCCCCAUGACCUGGUCAUGACAGAGCUGCAAGUAAGACACCUUCAGCAAGAGCCUUAUUCACAUUGAGAUUUAGAAAUGGGAUCAGAAAGUUACAAAGGGACAAACUUGUCAAGAAAAGGUAGAAUGCUUUUGGUUCAGUGGCCAAAUGUUAAGCACCAUCCCCAGGUUCAAAUGAAUUUCCUGUAUCUUCAUUUCAAUGAACUACAGAAUCACAGAAUGGGUCAGAUUAGAGAAGACCACAGUGAUCAGAUCCAAACUCCCUGCUCAGGCAGAGUUGUUCUAGAGCACAUGGCACAGGAGUGUGUCCAGAUGCUUCUGGAAUAUUGCCCAGACUCCACAGCCUCUCUGGGCAAUCUGUCCCAGUGCUCGGGCACUGCGCAGGGAAAAAGUUCUUCCUCAUGUUCAGGCGGAACUUCCUGAGCAUCAGUUCCUGCCCGUGUCCCCUUGUGCCUUUGCCUGGUCCAUGCUCUGACCCCUCCCUGCAGACUGACAGACAUUGAUGAGAUUCCCCCUCGGUGUCUCUUCUCCAGGAUAAAUAGGCCUUUCCUCAGAAGAGAGAUGCUCCAGUACUUUGAUCAACUUUGUUCCUGCUGGACCAGGAGCUGAACCAGGAGCUCAAUGUCUCUUGUACUGAAGAGCCCAGAACUGGACAUGCUGGGAGCGCCAUUCCUCUCUGAAGAGAAAGACCCUGGCCCUGUUAUUUGUCUGCUAAUGCUGCUGUAAGUCUCAGCCCUCUGGGGAUGUGUCUGGAGUUGGUGCUGGACAUCCUGCCCUGCAGUGGGAGAGAGCCCUGGAGCCUGCAAGUCCACAGAGAUAAGCAUGGAGCCAUACAAAAACUGAGAGCCAUGUUCUGUACAGGUUGCAAGAGCCUGGGGUAGAGACAGUUGUGACCUGCCCUGUUUUCUCCAUGCCAUACAAGUCCCACUCCUGAGGAUGUGAUGUCUUGGGUGCCCGUGUCCUGCUGCUCACUCCAUCAUGCCAGAAGUGACUCCAUCAUUCUACUUUUCUGGCUCUGCCUGCUCGCAGCAAGACACAACUGGAGCAGGAGCAGCUUCCCCAGGCAGACCUGUCUCAGCCCACAGGAAACCUCAAACCCUGUUUCCCCAUCUCACAACAACCACCUCCAAGUCUUUAUUAAUCUGAAUAA